UGAUGAAUGACAGGCCGAGUGGUUAUGGCGCUAGUUUCAGGCAGUGUAAACUGUGCCGAAGACAGGAAGCUUACUAGUGGAGCAAUCCUCGUGGGUUCGAGUCCCACCCUCAUCAA